AUUGAACGCUGGCGGCAUGCCUUACACAUGCAAGUCGAACGGCAGCACGGGAGCAAUCCUGGUGGCGAGUGGCGAACGGGUGAGUAAAGUAUCGGAACGUGCCCAGUCGUGGGGGAUAACGUAGCGAAAGUUACGCUAAUACCGCAUACGAUCUAUGGAUGAAAGCGGGGGAUCGCAAGACCUCGCGCGAUUGGAGCGGCCGAUAUCAGAUUAGGUAGUUGGUGGGGUAAAGGCUCACCAAGCCGACGAUCUGUAGCUGGUCUGAGAGGACGACCAGCCACACUGGGACUGAGACACGGCCCAGACUCCUACGGGAGGCAGCAGUGGGGAAUUUUGGACAAUGGGCGAAAGCCUGAUCCAGCUAUGCCGCGUGCAGGAUGAAGGCCUUCGGGUUGUAAACUGCCUUUGUACGGAACGAAAAGGUUUGGCCUAAUAAGCUGAGCUCAUGACGGUACCGUAAGAAUAAGCACCGGCUAACUACGUGCCAGCCGCCGCAGUAA
rnacentral:rRNA from 1 species